rnacentral:rRNA from 1 species
AGAGCGAACGCUGGCGGCAGGCCUAAUACAUGCAAGUCGAACGGACCCUUCGGGGUUAGUGGCGGACGGGUGAGUAACACGUGGGAACGUGCCCUUUGGUUCGGAACAACUCAGGGAAACUUGAGCUAAUACCGGAUGUGCCCUUCGGGGGAAAGAUUUAUCGCCAUUGGAGCGGCCCGCGUCUGAUUAGCUAGUUGGUGGGGUAAAGGCCCACCAAGGCUACGAUCAGUAGCUGGUCUGAGAGGAUGAUCAGCCACACUGGGACUGAGACACGGCCCAGACUCCUACGGGAGGCAGCAGUAGGGAAUCUUGCGCAAUGGGCGAAAGCCUGACGCAGCCAUGCCGCGUGAAUGAUGAAGGUCUUAGGAUUGUAAAAUUCUUUCAGCGGGACGAUAAUGACGGUACCGCAGAAGAACGCCCGGCUAACUUCGUGCCAGCAGCCGC